rnacentral:lncRNA from 1 species
GCCAUUCUCCUGCCUCAGCCUCCCGAGUAGCUGGGACUACAGGCGCCUGCCCCCACGCCCGGCUAAUUUUUUGUAUUUUUAGUAGAGACGGGGUUUCACCGCAUUAGCCAGGAUGGUCCUGAUCUCCUGACCUUGUGAUCCACCCGCCUUGGCCUCCCAAAGUGCUGGGAUUACAGGCGUGAGCCACCGCGCCCGGCCCACCACAGUUUUAAUUCUGAAGAUGCAGUAUUAAGAGAGGAGGCUAAAGAAGCACACACUUGCUUAAUUUUUCCUUCAUUAUAUGCUGGGGAUGGCAGCAGCAGCUUGUGGCUGAGUUUCGGUGUUCUGCCUGACGGGUGACAGCUGAGCAGGCACUAGGUCCUUGCAAAACGCAGGAUGCUGGGGAGGGUCUUCACCUUGCAUGGUGUCCCGUCCCACACUGCUCCUCAGGUUGGGAGUGGUGGGGAGUUACUGUUUAAUGUGUACAGAAUUUCUCUUUGGGAUGACAAAAAUGUCUGGAAAUGGAUGGUGGUGAUGGUUGUAGAGCUUUACAGAUUUACUUAAUGCCACUGAAUUAUUUUACUUAAUGCCACUGAAUUAUACACUUCAAAUGAUUAAAAUGGUAAAUUUUAUUUAUCUUUUACCACAAUUUUUUUUAAAACCUCAGUAAAUAAAAUGCAACUUAAGGCUUC